UCCCUCUCAGGGUCACACCUGGAGAGUUUCCAGUACUCUACCAGGCUCAACUACGAGAGUCAGAGUCAAGCAGAGGCUUAGCCAUUCCAUUCCUGGCUUGGGCAGUAGUUAGCGAGUGGAAGGCAAUCUGCUACAAAU